rnacentral:rRNA from 1 species
UUGAACGCUGGCGGCAGGCCUAACACCUGCCAGUCGCACGGUAACAGGAAGCAGCUUGCUGCUUUGCUGACGAGUGGCGGACGGGUGAGUAAUGUCUGGGAAACUGCCCGAUGGAGGGGGAUAACUACUGGAAACGGUAGCUAAUACCGCAUAACGUCGCAAGACCCAAGAGGGGGACCUUAGGGCCUCUUGCCAUCGGAUGUGCCCAGAUGGGAUUAGCUAGUAGGUGGGGUAACGGCUCACCUAGGCGACGAUCCCUAGCUGGUCUGAGAGGAUGACCAGCCACACUGGAACUGAGACACGGUCCAGACUCCUACGGGAGGCAGCAGUGGGGAAUAUUGCACAAUGGGCGCAAGCCUGAUGCAGCCAUGCCGCGUGUAUGAAGAAGGCCUUCGGGUUGUAAAGUACUUUCAGCGGGGAGGAAGGGAGUAAAGUUAAUACCUUUGCUCAUUGACGUUACCCGCAGAAGAAGCACCGGCUAACUCCGUG